CCUACGGGAGGCAGCAGUGGGGAAUCUUGCGCAAUGGGCGAAAGCCUGACGCAGCCAUGCCGCGUGAAUGAUGAAGGUCUUAGGAUUGUAAAAUUCUUUCACCGGGGACGAUAAUGACGGUACCCGGAGAAGAAGCCCCGGCUAACUUCGUGCCAGCAGCCGCGGUAAUACGAAGGGGGCUAGCGUUGCUCGGAAUUACUGGGCGUAAAGGGAGCGUAGGCGGAUAGUUUAGUCAGAGGUGAAAGCCCAGGGCUCAACCUUGGAAUUGCCUUUGAUACUGGCUAUCUUGAGUGUGGGAGAGGUAUGUGGAACUCCGAGUGUAGAGGUGAAAUUCGUAGAUAUUCGGAAGAACACCAGUGGCGAAGGCGACAUACUGGCCCAUUACUGACGCUGAGGCUCGAAAGCGUGGGGAGCAAACAGGAUUAGAUACCCUGGUAGUCCACGCUGUAAACGAUGAGUGCUAGUUGUCGGCAGCAUGCUGUCGGUGACGCGAGCUACGCAUAAGUCCGACCCCGCCCGUCGGGGAGGUACGGUCGGCGAAGAAUUAAAACUUAAAUUAGUAAGUUAGUACGGCGUGAGACGUGCCGAACGGACGACGACGAGGGGAGGUAGG
rnacentral:rRNA from 1 species